AUGGCGCCGUUUCAGCCGAAUCCGGAGCUGCUAAUGGCCGCCCGGCGGGGCGAUUGGCGGCAGCUAGAGCGUCUCCUUGGCCAAAUCAAGCAGGAAUCAGCUGUCCCCGCCGGCGACGCCGUCGACAUCGAGAUGUCAUCUCCAAUAGCCCCAGCCGAGGCGGUCACCGUCGCGCGGGACUCGGUCCUCCACGUGGUUAUUGCCUCGAGGGGAGACGGUGACCAGUUCCUCAAGAGCGCGAUGGUGAUCUACCGCAAGGCCAGCCACCUCCUCGACGCCCGGAACAAGAACGGCGUCGGAGACACGCCACUGCACUGCGCCGCCCGGGCUGGGUGGGGUGGAAUGGUCACUCAUCUUUUGACUCUUGCAAGAGGGGCCGAGAAUGGAGGCAGCGUUGAGACGGUUUCGUUUGGGUGA
rnacentral:rRNA from 1 species